CCUACGGGAGGCAGCAGUGAGGAAUAUUGGUCAAUGGGCGAGAGCCUGAACCAGCCAAGUCGCGUGAGGGAAGACGGUCCUAUGGAUUGUAAACCUCUUUUGCCGGGGAGCAAAAAGCGGUACGUGUACCGCAUCGAGAGUACCCGGAGAAAAAGCAUCGGCUAACUACGUGACAGCAGCCGCGGUAAUACGGAGGAGUGGAGCGUUAUCCGGAUUUAUUGGGUUUAAAGGGUGAGCAGGGGGCCGAUUAAGUCAGCAGUCAAAUUUUGGGGCUUAACCCCCGAAAGCCAGUUGAAACGGGCUUGCUUGAGUGGACGAGAGGUAUGCGGAAUGCGUGGUGUAGCGGUGAAAUGCAUAGAUAUCACGAAGAACUCCGAUUGCGAAGGCAGCAUACCGGCGCCCAACUGACGCUCAGGCACGAAAGCGUGGGUAUCGAACAGGAUUAGAUACCCCAGUAGUC
rnacentral:rRNA from 1 species